UACAACUUUCCAAAUACAUGUUUCCAGAUGAGGGCUGGGGAGCUUUCCUCGAUGUGCAUGUAGCUCAUGCCAUGUUGACGAGUUAACCCAGCUGAGCAGAAGAACAGAGUCAGCUCAGUGGAAGAUCAAGCUAAACCCGAGUGGCACCAAAGCCAGUGUCAUGUACUCAAAGAGCUUCACCUGCAUGGAAUGAUUUUGCAUUGGUUUAACCUACAGUAAACAGCUUGCCCCCUGGCUUAAUCAGGGAAAGGGAGGAGUAGACAGGGAGUCCCAGAUGGGCUGAAUUUAACCUGGAGAUCUAACCUCUGUGGACAGCACCAUGCAGGACUGAAAGAAAAGCUAUGGAAGUUAAAAAAGAGAUCUCCACAAAGGUGAUUUCAUGAACCAGCCCUGAAAGAGAGAAUACUCGUGGAUGAGAGCAGCAAUAAGGUUGCAGUUCCUGGGCUGAGGUGAAAGACCCUCUCUUGCCAACAGAGAGACUUCAACCAGGAUCCUCAGCAUCCCUGAUGGAUGGUGUGCCCGCAGAGCUGUUGGCUGAAAAUCUUCAGAAAGCAGCUAGAACCAUCCUUGUUUCCACAGGACCUUUAACCCACAGUGAAGGGGAGGUGUUGUUACAGUGUAUGAUGCACAGAAAAAGGAGUCAUUUAGUAAAAGCAAAAAAAUGGUGCCACUAACAACUGAAACAUCACUUUAAGAACUGCCUCAUCUCUCUAUCACAUUAUCUCCUUUUCUACAUGCUUUGGGCAUCUUUGAGUGGAAAGAAUCUCAAGUAGACAGGGCAACAUUUGAUGUGCCACUGCCAACACAUGGAAAGUGCAUGAUCCAGCACCUGCAAAGUCUGGGAAAAAGCAUGGCGUGGGUAUUUCUCUUAUGAAGAGCAGAUGCACUGCAUUUUUUAUAUGAGCCAUG